rnacentral:rRNA from 1 species
UACGUAGGGGGCGAGCGUUGUCCGGAUUUAUUGGGCGUAAAGAGCUCGUAGGCGGUUCGUUAAGUCGGACGUGAAAUCUCCACGCUCAACGUGGAGGGGCCGUUCGAUACUGUCGUGACUCGAGUCCGGUAGGGGAGUGUGGAAUUCCCGGUGUAGCGGUGAAAUGCGCAGAGAUCGGGAGGAACACCCGUAGCGAAGGCGGCACUCUGGGCCGGUACUGACGCUGAGGUGCGAAAGCGUGGGGAGCAAACAGG